AAACUGGGAACACCAACUAGAGAAGAAAACAAAUGUAUGAAUCUAAAAUAUACCGAGUUCAAAUUCCCUCAGAUCAAAGCACAUCCAUGGCAUAAGGUUUUUAACCGAAGAAUACCCCCUGAAGCAGUGGAUCUUCUAUCAAGGCUGCUCCAGUAUUCGCCAAACCUACGUUGCACCCCUUUGGAGGCCUGCGCACAUCCCUUCAUCGAUGA